rnacentral:ncRNA from 2 species
CAACUACAUAUAGCACAAGGUGUCCGUUCGGACUUAAUAGGGAAUCCCGUGUGAAUCGGGAGCGGUCCCGCCGCUGUGACCGGGGACAAGCUUCGCAAAAUGCCACUUCACCGCAAGAUCGGUGGGGGAAGGCGCGGAGGGCGAAUGAUCCGGGAGUCAGAAUACCUGCCUUGAGAGUGCGUCAUUU